UUAUUAGUAGCUGAGUUGGCAAAGAAUCUGCCUGCAAUGCAGGAGACCUAGGUUCAAUCCCUGGGUCAGAAA
rnacentral:tRNA from 1 species